rnacentral:sRNA from 2 species
ACGAGUGCACGCAAUCUGCUGAAUAUAUAUAUAAGAGAAGUAAAAGGUAGGUUUUCCUGGCAAAUUGGGCCAUACAAAGAUGACCAGUUUUCGUUUUAAUACAUAUUCCAUAAUAUUAUAUACACAGCACAGGCAAUUCAGCAUUCGGUCUGGACAAGAUACGUCAAUAUAUACAUAUUGAUUGUUAAAUCGAUGAUGAUAUAAUUAAGAAAUCCGUAGAAACCCUCACAGUCAUACAUAGUCAAUUAACACAGUGGGAGCCUUAGAAUAAUUCAAAGCCUCAAAAAAAAAAAAAUUAUCGCCUUUUGUUUUCUGUGAAAUUGAAUAACUAGUUCAAUAUGAUUUGAUUUCCAAGUGUGUGUACAUACAUGAUGAUGAU